GAGUUUGUUGGUUUUCGCCGGGGUAGGGUUGUCUCAUGCACAGAUCCGUCCCCAGUGUCCUCUACCACCCAAAGACGUGGAAACGGUGUUUACUAAUGGAACAGCAUCAGAAACCCGCAAAGGAAUUAAGGAGUUUAAGACUCGUGUAAAGAAGAACAACCCUUGGUUCACAGCAAUACAGGAAGGGGCAGCCGCCAGUCUAAUCAAUCCUGCGGACUGGAUCGCCAAACCCGGACGAUGGUUAAGUGUAUGUUCUGGAAAACCUCGUAAUAUCACGAUCCCCACGUGGCACACAGUGAAGGGCAGGAAAUGUUACACACCGAAACCAUUCCGAGAUUACACCUACCCUACUAUUGAAUGUCAAGUUACCCCUUGUCGUGGCGUGAGCCCUAUUGAAGAAGGAGAACGUGCCUUCUGCCGGCCUCAAAAUUACAAGAAAUACACUAUCUGUAUAUGGUGCUUGAACAAGAAGGGUACCAAGUUUGUUAGGGAAGAGUAUGAUAUACAUACCUACCGAUGCUGUUCCUGCUGCCGGUAUCGCUGUUAGAUAAUAAAGAUACAGACAUACAUCUCAUGUUGUCUAUCGAUAUCAGCAACGGCUGAUGGAACUGUGAACAAUACACAAUAAAACUGGU